CGGCCUGCGCGGAAGAUGUAACGGGGCUAAACCAUGCACCGAAGCUGCGGCAGCGAACGUAUCACCCAAGACAACUUUACGGAGUUGACGAUUGACGGAGCGAAGCGACGUCAAAGCGUUCAUUAAAGUCGAGUUGGCUUAGGGAUACGUUCGUUGGGUAGGGGAGCGUUCUGUAAGCCUGUGAAGGUGUGUCGUGAGGCAUGCUGGAGGUAUCAGAAGUGCGAAUGCUGACAUAAGUAACGAUAAAGCGGGUGAAAAGCCCGCUCGCCGGAAGACCAAGGGUUCCUGUCCAACGUUAAUCGGGGCAGGGUGAGUCGACCCCUAAGGCGAGGCCGAAAGGCGUAGUCGAUGGGAAACGGGUUAAUAUUCCCGUACUUGGUGUUACUGCGAAGGGGGGACGGAGAAGGCUAUGUUGGCCGGGCGACGGUUGUCCCGGUUUAAGCGUGUAGGUGUGUGUUCCAGGUAAAUCCGGUUCACUUUAACACUGAGGCGUGACGACGAGGCACUACGGUGCUGAAGCAACAAAUGCCCUGCUUCCAGGAAAAGCCUCUAAGCAUCAGGUAACAUCAAAUCGUACCCCAAACCGACACAGGUGGUCAGGUAGAGAAUACCAAGGCGCUUGAGAGAACUCGGGUGAAGGAACUAGGCAAAAUGGUGCCGUAACUUCGGGAGAAGGCACGCUGACACGUAGGUGAAGUGAUUUACUCA
rnacentral:rRNA from 1 species